GCAGGACAAAUAAUCAUUGAUGGCAUCGAUAUCUCCUCCAUUGGCCUUCACGACCUCCGUGGCCGUCUCAGCAUCAUUCCCCAAGACCCCACCUUGUUUGAAGGCACUAUUCGAGGAAACCUCGACCCUCUCGAAGAACACACUGAUCAAGAAGUUUGGCAGGCUCUAGAUAAGUCACAGUUGGGGGACAUAGUUCGUGCGAAAGACCAGAAGCUCGAUACUCCAGGUAUAUAGUAAAUCUUGACGUUAGAUUGAGAAGUAAGAAAAAGAAUGCUUGUGAACGGCUCGAACCAUUUGUCUUCACAUGUUGUUGGGAACUUUGUUUCAGCUCCUGCUCUGGCUUUCCUCUGCUUCGUGGCUCUCAGAGGUGUAUCAGGUCUUCGAGUUAUUACUACACAUUCACAUCUUCUUGACCCUCUGCUUGUCGAAGAUGAAGAAGAAGAAGAAGAGAAAGCUGGGUGUCUCAGUGUUACUUCCUAUAGUGACGCCGGGUUGUUCAGCCUCGCUACGCUUUCGUGGCUGAAUCCUCUCCUCUCUCUUGGCGCCAAGAGGCCGUUGGAUCUCAAGGACAUUCCUCUGCUCGCUCCCAAAGACCGGGCAAAGACCAACUACAGAAUCUUGAACUUUAACUGGGAGAAGUUAAAGGCUGAGAAUCCCUCGAAACCGCCUUCUCUCGCUUGGGCCAUCUUGAAGUCGUUUUGGAAAGAAGCGGCUUGUAAUGCAGUCUUUGCUGGCUUGAACACUCUUGUUUCUUAUGUGGGUCCUUAUUUGGUGAAUGACUUUGUUAAUUAUCUGGGUGGGAAAGAGACUUACCCUCACGAGGGUUACAUCCUCGCUGGUAUCUUCUUUGCGGCCAAACUCGCAGAGACUUUGACAACCCGGCAGUGGUAUCUUGGUGUGGAUAUCUUGGGGAUGCAUGUCAGAUCAGCUCUAACGGCUAUGGUGUACAGAAAAGGGCUCAAACUCUCGAGUAUAACCAAGCAGAACCACACGAGCGGCGAGAUUGUGAACUACAUGGCCGUUGAUGUCCAGAGAGUAGGUGACUACUCUUGGUACCUUCAUGAUAUGUGGAUGCUUCCUCUACAGAUUGUACUUGCUCUCGGGAUCUUGUACAGGAGUGUGGGAAUGGCGGCUGUAGCUACGUUGGCGGCCACAGUUUUCUCUAUUAUCGCCACCAUCCCAUUGGCCAAAGUCCAAGAGGACUAUCAAGACAAAUUGAUGUCUGCUAAAGAUGAGCGGAUGAGGAAGACUUCGGAGUGUUUGAGGAACAUGAGGAUUCUGAAACUGCAGGCUUGGGAGGAUCGGUACAGGGUCGUGCUUGAGGGAAUGAGGAGCACGGAGUUCAAAUGGCUUCGAAAGGCUUUAUACUCCCAAGCGUUUAUCACGUUUAUAUUCUGGAGUUCGCCUAUCUUCGUAGCUGCAAUCACGUUUGCUACGGCCAUAGGCCUAGGAACUCAGCUCACUGCAGGAGGCGUUCUCUCUGCGCUUGCAACGUUCAGGAUUCUUCAGGAGCCGCUUAGGAAUUUUCCUGAUCUGGUGUCAAUGAUGGCUCAGACUAAAGUGUCUCUUGAUCGUAUAUCGGGGUUUCUGCAAGAGGAAGAGCUCCAGGAAGACGCUACGAUAAUCCUUUCUCAAGGUAUGACAGAGACAUCUGUGGAGAUCAAAGACGGUUGUUUCUCUUGGGAUCCUUCGUGGGUAAGGCCAACUUUGUUUGAUAUUCAUCUAAACGUCAAGAGAGGAAUGCGAGUAGCUGUUUGCGGAGUCGUCGGUUCCGGAAAAUCAAGUUUUCUUUCUUGUAUACUUGGAGAAAUACCUAAAAUCUCGGGUGAAGUAAGUGAAACACUUGAACAACUUUCGAAACAUGUGUGUCUGUCUUCAAUAUUUUUCAGGCCUAAUCAAAUUUGACGAGUUGUACACUGAAAUACACAGGUCAGAAUAUGCGGUAGUGCUGCUUAUGUUUCACAAUCCGCAUGGAUCCAGUCUGGGAAUAUAGAAGAAAAUAUUCUCUUCGGCAGUCCAAUGGACAAGGCCAAGUACAAGAACGUUAUACACGCUUGCUCACUGAAACGGGACUUGGAGCUCUUCUCACAUGGUGAUCAGACCAUUAUCGGUGACAGAGGCAUAAACCUCAGCGGUGGUCAGAAGCAGAGAGUUCAGCUAGCGAGAGCGCUUUACCAGGAUGCUGAUGUAUAUCUGCUAGACGACCCUUUCAGCGCUGUUGACGCUCACACUGGCUCCGAACUCUUCAAGGUGCACCUUUUCUUUUCUACUUCUUUCCAAAUAAACAAACAACUACCUUUUUCAAACACUGCCUUGCGUGAAUGCGACUCCCUUCAUCAAGCUUGAGUUUGCGUAUCUACAGGAAUAUAUAUUGACGGCUCUGGCAGACAAGACUGUGAUAUUUGUAACUCAUCAAGUCGAGUUUCUUCCUACCACGGAUCUUAUAUUGGUGAGGACUUCUUCUGCCAUUGCCCUUCUGCUAAAAAUGUUAUACCAAGAGCUGUUUUUAAUGUUAAGACACAGAGAAAAGUAUAUAACACCAAGAAACCACUUGAUGAAAUUUUUGUGUUUAUCUGCAGGUCCUUAGGGAUGGCCAAAUUAUACAGUCAGGUAAGUAUGAGGAACUGCUACAAGCAGGAACGGAUUUCUUAUCACUUGUGUCUGCUCAUCAUGAAGCAAUUGAAGCAAUGGACAUUCCAAGCCAUUCAUCAGAGGACUCUGAUAAAACGGCUUAUAAAUAAGAAGCAACAUGAAUACGGCUGGGGGAGAUUUGAACAAAGUGAACUUGGAAGCAGAAGAGAUCGAACAUGGGAAAUGUCAUUGGUCAGAACAUAGGAAAUGUACGCUUCUAAUGUAAAUAGCAGAAAUGCAAAGAGGAAUUGCGACUGGACAUCAUCUUCAUUUAAUGUAUUGAAAUCGCUGUCCGUAAGGAAAAUACUCAGUAAAAAAAUCUCUAAAACCAAAACUUUUCUUGUUUUUAUUUUUAAUCUUUCAUGUUAUUGUUUUUAUUUAAUAAUCUUUCAUGUUAUUGGUUUUAUUUUGUUAGUUUAGAAUUAUAAUUUGAUGAAGUACAAAGUAGUGUUUGAUUAUAUAUAUAUAUAAAAUCAUUGACAAAACAUAAUAAAGUUUGGGUCGUUUCAAUGCACAAAUAUUAUAAGGUUUACAAACAAAACAUUGACAAAACAAAGAAAAAAAUAAGAAAUUUGAAACAAAUAAAAAUGUGAUGUUUGUUGAAUGUGUUAAUUUAAGUGUUAGAAUAACUAUAAUGACAAAAGAUAUCACAAUAAUUACAAUAAUAAAAAGUUUAGUUUUUUGAUUAAAAAGUUUACAAUCGUUUUAAACUUUUUAUAAAAAUAAAACUUUAUAAAAAUUUUUUUAUAAAGUUUAUUUAAUGGUUUUAUUAAAAAAAUGAAUAAAGUUUUGUUUUUAUUUUUAUAAAUUUAAAAGGUUUGUUUUUGUUAAAGUUUUAUUAAAAACAGUUUACAAAGUUUUAUUUUUAUUAAAUACGUUUUACAAAGUUUUAUUUUUAUUUUUUUUACAUACGUUUUAAUAAUGCUAAAAUUUAAAAGUAAUAAAAAUUAAAAAAUAUUUUCAAAAAAGUAUAAUAAAAAUUUUAAUAUUUUUUAAUAAAAAUGAAUAGUGCAUACACUUUUAGGGAAGUUGGAAUCUUAUAAAUAUUUGUAUUGAUAUUUUUGACAGGGUAAAUCGACCAAAUCACGUUUUAGGGAAAUUAGUAUUUUACAAAUAUUUUUAAAAUAUUUUCUUAACUGAAACUUCCAUAAUUUUCGCUAAAGUCAAAUUCUCUUAUCCGUAGAAGGUACUUUAUACACUGCGUAGAACCAAGAUAAAAAUCUCAUAAGUUGAUUCUACCUCAUAUAGACGUAUGAGCAUUGUCUAAAUUUUGCAUUCCGAGAAUCUUAGAAUAUCUCAUAAAAGUAGAAACUGCAUUCUGAGAAAAAGUACCUAUUUUUACAACUAGUAGAAUUCGCAUUCCAUAUAUUUAAAAGUUUAAUUAAAAAUAGAGUGUUCAUUCUAAAAAAACUAGACGAACUUGUUUAAUAUGGAAUUCAAUUUCUACUAAUUCAUUUUCCGUAGAAGACGAAAUCUGUUUUUAGUAGAACGUAAAUUAAAUUUUAAUUUAUCAAGUUUUUCAAUAAAAAGAAUAUCAGUUUGUGUAUAUGAAUGUUUUAUUAAUUGUCUCUAUUUUUCUAUUUUUUUAUUCAUAAAACUAUUUACAUUUCAUUAAAUUUUAGUAAUGAAAAGAGUAAAAAAAAAAUGGACAAAAAAAAUUUUAUACUAAAAAGACAACUAUACUAUUUUUUGAUCCAUUUUGGCAAUUUUCCCAAUAAAUAACCGGACACUACUGCUAUUUAAGGCCAUAUAUAAUAUGAUUGCGUCUGAAGAUCGAAAAACCUCGACUGCGUCUACAUUAUAUAUAAUCUGGUGUAUGUAUGCGUGUGUGAGAGAGAGAGUUUCAGAUUUAAAGGUACGAAGAAGAAGAAGAAGAGGAGAAAGCAAAUCCAAAUUGAUCCUACAUUUUGCGACUCAAUCUCUCUCUCUCUCUCUGUUGUAACGCCAUUAUCACACACAGCUGGAAACAUCUCUUCUACUCUCUCUCUCUUCUCGGCUAGGGCGGGGAGAGAGAAAGAGAAGCCACAUUGUCUUCCAUCACAGGUUUUGUCAUAAAUUUAAAUUUUUCAUGUGUGUGUGUUUUGUCUUCUUGUGUCUUUCUCUAGAUAACAUCGAUGCAACACAACAAAAAGUCGUUUAGGCUCUGAUGUGUUAUUCAACGUGUUAGGCUCUGACGAAAAGUCGUUUUGGUAACAUGUGCGAUGUGUCUUUCAGGCUCUGCGUUUCUCUCUACCACCGUCGUGACUCCUCUGCUCAUAAGACACAUCUUUACUCUCGCUUCUUCCUCUGCUUACAUUACAUUGAAUUGAACUGCUCUUUCUUCAAUGCUCUCUAGCUCAGAAAUCUCAUUAAUCUAAUUAUGAGUAUGGGCACGCUCUUGAGAGCUCUUCGUGACUUACCACUCGUGGAAGCGUCUUCGAUCUGCAUCACUUUGGCUCUUCUCUUAGUGUUUAUCAUCGAUAUCUCCGCCAGACGCUUGCUUCUCUGCCUCCGUCGCGGUCCUUUCCUCAAACACGACUCUGUAGGAAACUCUAGUUCCGGAGACGCCCGCGAGCUUCAAGUCACCAUUGGUUACAAAUUCUCGGUUCUUUGCUGUUUCUUUGUCUUAAUCGUGCACGUUUCGGUUUUAGUGUUGGAUGUUGUCGGAGUAGCUAAGGAAAGAAACGAGAUUAGUGUUCUUUUCUCGCCGGUUACAGAGGUUGUAGCUUGGUUAGUGUUGUGCGCAUCAGUUGUUCGAUGUAAUUACACCUCUGCGGAAAAGUUUCCUUUGCUGCUGAGGCUGUGGUGGGUUGUGGGCUUCUUGAUUUGUUUAUGGGCUUUGUUCAUAGACUCCAGAGAGAUUCUUGUGAACGGCUCGAACCAUUUGUCUUCACAUGUUGUUGGGAACUUUGUUUCAGCUCCUGCUCUGGCUUUCCUCUGCUUCGUGGCUCUCAGAGGUGUAUCAGGUCUUCGAGUUAUUACUACACAUUCACAUCUUCUUGACCCUCUGCUUGUCGAAGAUGAAGAAGAAGAAGAAGAGAAAGCUGGGUGUCUCAGUGUUACUUCCUAUAGUGACGCCGGGUUGUUCAGCCUCGCUACGCUUUCGUGGCUGAAUCCUCUCCUCUCUCUUGGCGCCAAGAGGCCGUUGGAUCUCAAGGACAUUCCUCUGCUCGCUCCCAAAGACCGGGCAAAGACCAACUACAGAAUCUUGAACUUUAACUGGGAGAAGUUAAAGGCUGAGAAUCCCUCGAAACCGCCUUCUCUCGCUUGGGCCAUCUUGAAGUCGUUUUGGAAAGAAGCGGCUUGUAAUGCAGUCUUUGCUGGCUUGAACACUCUUGUUUCUUAUGUGGGUCCUUAUUUGGUGAAUGACUUUGUUAAUUAUCUGGGUGGGAAAGAGACUUACCCUCACGAGGGUUACAUCCUCGCUGGUAUCUUCUUUGCGGCCAAACUCGCAGAGACUUUGACAACCCGGCAGUGGUAUCUUGGUGUGGAUAUCUUGGGGAUGCAUGUCAGAUCAGCUCUAACGGCUAUGGUGUACAGAAAAGGGCUCAAACUCUCGAGUAUAACCAAGCAGAACCACACGAGCGGCGAGAUUGUGAACUACAUGGCCGUUGAUGUCCAGAGAGUAGGUGACUACUCUUGGUACCUUCAUGAUAUGUGGAUGCUUCCUCUACAGAUUGUACUUGCUCUCGGGAUCUUGUACAGGAGUGUGGGAAUGGCGGCUGUAGCUACGUUGGCGGCCACAGUUUUCUCUAUUAUCGCCACCAUCCCAUUGGCCAAAGUCCAAGAGGACUAUCAAGACAAAUUGAUGUCUGCUAAAGAUGAGCGGAUGAGGAAGACUUCGGAGUGUUUGAGGAACAUGAGGAUUCUGAAACUGCAGGCUUGGGAGGAUCGGUACAGGGUCGUGCUUGAGGGAAUGAGGAGCACGGAGUUCAAAUGGCUUCGAAAGGCUUUAUACUCCCAAGCGUUUAUCACGUUUAUAUUCUGGAGUUCGCCUAUCUUCGUAGCUGCAAUCACGUUUGCUACGGCCAUAGGCCUAGGAACUCAGCUCACUGCAGGAGGCGUUCUCUCCGCGCUUGCAACGUUCAGGAUUCUUCAGGAGCCGCUUAGGAAUUUUCCUGAUCUGGUGUCAAUGAUGGCUCAGACUAAAGUGUCUCUUGAUCGUAUAUCGGGGUUUCUGCAAGAGGAAGAGCUCCAGGAAGACGCUACGAUAAUCCUUUCUCAAGGUAUGACAGAGACAUCUGUGGAGAUCAAAGACGGUUGUUUCUCUUGGGAUCCUUCGUGGGUAAGGCCAACUUUGUUUGAUAUUCAUCUAAACGUCAAGAGAGGAAUGCGAGUAGCUGUUUGCGGAGUCGUCGGUUCCGGAAAAUCAAGUUUUCUUUCUUGUAUACUUGGAGAAAUACCUAAAAUCUCGGGUGAAGUAAGUGAAACACUUGAACAACUUUCGAAACAUGUGUGUCUGUCUUCAAUAUUUUUCAGGCCUAAUCAAAUUUGACGAGUUGUACACUGAAAUACACAGGUCAGAAUAUGCGGUAGUGCUGCUUAUGUUUCACAAUCCGCAUGGAUCCAGUCUGGGAAUAUAGAAGAAAAUAUUCUCUUCGGCAGUCCAAUGGACAAGGCCAAGUACAAGAACGUUAUACACGCUUGCUCACUGAAACGGGACUUGGAGCUCUUCUCACAUGGUGAUCAGACCAUUAUCGGUGACAGAGGCAUAAACCUCAGCGGUGGUCAGAAGCAGAGAGUUCAGCUAGCGAGAGCGCUUUACCAGGAUGCUGAUGUAUAUCUGCUAGACGACCCUUUCAGCGCUGUUGACGCUCACACUGGCUCCGAACUCUUCAAGGUGCACCUUUUCUUUUCUACUUCUUUCCAAAUAAACAAACAACUACCUUUUUCAAACACUGCCUUGCGUGAAUGCGACUCCCUUCAUCAAGCUUGAGUUUGCGUAUCUACAGGAAUAUAUAUUGACGGCUCUGGCAGACAAGACUGUGAUAUUUGUAACUCAUCAAGUCGAGUUUCUUCCUACCACGGAUCUUAUAUUGGUGAGGACUUCUUCUGCCAUUGCCCUUCUGCUAAAAAUGUUAUACCAAGAGCUGUUUUUAAUGUUAAGACACAGAGAAAAGUAUAUAACACCAAGAAACCACUUGAUGAAAUUUUUGUGUUUAUCUGCAGGUCCUUAGGGAUGGCCAAAUUAUACAGUCAGGUAAGUAUGAGGAACUGCUACAAGCAGGAACGGAUUUCUUAUCACUUGUGUCUGCUCAUCAUGAAGCAAUUGAAGCAAUGGACAUUCCAAGCCAUUCAUCAGAGGACUCUGAUAGCCAUCAUGGGAUAGACCAGUCAUUGCCACACAAUCCAAAAUCCAACGCUUCCUCGAGCAACAUUGAGAUUCUGGCCAAGGAGGUCCAAGAAGGGCCGUCGGGGUCUAACCAGAAAGCCACCAAAGAGAAAAAGAAAGCGAAACGGCUAAGGAAGAAACAACUGGUUCAGGACGAGGAACGUGUCCGGGGACGAGUCAGUAUGAAGGUGUACUGGUCAUAUAUGGCUGCAGCCUAUAAAGGGCUGUUGAUUCCGCUCAUAAUCAUUGCGCAGACUCUGUUUCAGUUCCUUCAGAUUGCAAGUAACUGGUGGAUGGCCUGGGCAAAUCCGCAAACAGAGGGAGACCAAGCUAAAGUGAGCUCCACGGUCCUUCUCCUUGUAUUUAUUGCGCUAGCGUUUGGUAGCUCAGUAUUUAUCUUUGUCCGAGCGAUUCUGGUCGCCACGUUCGGCCUCGUAGCUGCUCAGAAGCUGUUUCUGAACAUGCUCAGGAGUGUUUUCCGCGCGCCAAUGUCGUUUUUCGACUCGACUCCUGCUGGAAGGAUCUUAAAUCGGGUUGGUUCUCUUUUUAAUUUAUUUAUUUUUAUUUAUUAAAACAUGACUAUGACGUCUUCUCUUCAUUGAUGGUCUUUCUCAUUGCUAUUUUAGGUGUCCAUUGAUCAAAGCGUGGUGGAUCUUGAUAUUCCUUUUAGGCUCGGAGGAUUUGCAUCAACAACAAUACAGCUCAUUGGCAUUGUUGGUGUGAUGACAAACGUUACAUGGCAAGUGUUUCUUCUUGUAAUUCCAACUGGCAUUGCUUGCUUGUGGAUGCAGGUGAUUUCUGGUUAAUUUCUGAAGAUUCGUUUUUAUGAUACUUAAAGGGAUACAACAAAUUCAAAGUAUUUGACUUAUUUCUCUUAGUAUUACACGAUUUAACAGCAAAGUGUUUUUUUGCACUUAAAAAACGCAGAAAUACUACAUGGCAUCGUCUAGAGAGCUGGUUCGGAUAGUGAGCAUACAGAAAUCUCCAAUUAUCCAUCUAUUUGGGGAGUCAAUCGCGGGUGCAGCAACAAUCAGAGGGUUUGGCCAAGAAAAGCGUUUCAUGAAGAGAAACCUCUAUUUACUGGACUGCUUUGCCCGCCCUUUCUUUUGCAGCAUCGCUGCUAUAGAAUGGCUCUGUUUACGCAUGGAGCUGCUUUCUACUUUCGUCUUUGCCUUCUGCAUGAUCCUGCUCGUUAGCUUUCCACAUGGAACAAUCGAUCCAAGCAAGUUCUUCUCUUCGUCCUCUUUACUCUAUAGAUCGUUAGAAGGCUAUCUAUCAUGUUUACUGAGUUCAUCAUAUAUAUUACCUUUUUGUAUUAGGCAUGGCUGGUCUUGCAGUAACGUAUGGCCUUAAUUUAAACGCUCGCCUGUCCCGGUGGAUACUUAGCUUUUGUAAGCUCGAGAACAAAAUCAUCUCCAUCGAGAGAAUCUAUCAGUAUAGUCAGAUUCCCAGUGAGGCCCCUACGUUCAUCGAGGACGCUCACCCUCCUCCCUCGUGGCCAGAAAAUGGAGCCAUUGAGAUCAACAAUUUGAAGGUAUAAUUCGAAUUGUUCAUUCUGUUGAACUUCUCGCUAUAGCUUUUAAUUCAUCCUCCUUUGGUUAAAGGUUCGCUAUGGAGAGAAUCUACCAACUGUACUCCACGGAGUCAACUGUGUAUUCCCUGGUGGCAAGAAGAUUGGGAUUGUGGGGCGCACAGGAAGUGGCAAAUCAACACUGAUCCAAGCGCUGUUCAGGCUGAUAGAGCCAUAUGCAGGACAAAUAAUCAUUGAUGGCAUUGAUAUCUCUUCCAUUGGCCUUCACGAUCUCCGUGGCCGUCUCAGCAUCAUUCCCCAAGACCCCACUUUGUUUGAAGGCACUAUCCGAGGAAACCUCGACCCUCUCGAAGAACACACUGAUCAAGAAGUUUGGCAGGCUCUAGAUAAGUCACAGUUGGGGGACAUAGUUCGUGCGAAAGACCAGAAGCUCG
rnacentral:lncRNA from 1 species